UGGACUAGUGGGUGGCUUCUUUAAAUCUCCACAGCUCAAGGCUCAAAUCACCAGAGACAUGUACAAGUAUGUCCAAGAAUCUAUGACAAAUUGGAGCCAUGACCGACCCAUCUACAUUCAGGAUGAAACCAAAAAUAUUGCAUUUCAAGUACUAGUUAAGGCAUUGAUUAAUUUGGAUCCUGGUGAGGAAAUG